rnacentral:rRNA from 1 species
CCUACGGGUGGCAGCAGUGGGGAAUAUUGCACAAUGGGGGAAACCCUGAUGCAGCAACGCCGCGUGAAGGAAGACGGUUUUCGGAUUGUAAACUUCUGUUCUUAGUGAAGAAUAAUGACGGUAGCUAAGGAGCAAGCCACGGCUAACUACGUGCCAGCAGCCGCGGUAAUACGUAGGGGGCAAGCGUUAUCCGGAUUUACUGGGUGUAAAGGGCGUGCAGCCGGGAAGACAAGUCAGAUGUGAAAUCCCGCGGCUCAACCGCGGAACUGCAUUUGAAACUGUUUUUCUUGAGUAUCGGAGAGGUAAUCGGAAUUCCUAGUGUAGCGGUGAAAUGCGUAGAUAUUAGGAAGAACACCAGUGGCGAAGGCGGAUUACUGGACGACAACUGACGGUGAGGCGCGAAAGCGUGGGGAGCAAACAGGAUUAGAUACCCCUGUAGUC